CCACCUUGCUUUGACACUCCACUUCCGGUGUGUAGGAACUGCAUCAACACUGUCAACAGAGGAAAUACAUUGUCAUGGAGUUUAUUGUUGAUUUUCUAAGAUUUAAAGUUUUUAUUUUAGCGUUAUUGAAAUGAGACACUGUAACUGGACGUAUGCACAGAUGGUACAGUGUAUCUCGGAACUUUCUCUUCCUCGGAUAAGGCAUGCAUAACGGCCGGCACACAUGUCCCAUGGAGAGGAGAAAAUAACCCCGAAGAGGAGAAGGAAAAAGAAGACGUCUCUGUUGCCCGGCUCCUAAAGUGAUCAAGCACUCUG